rnacentral:rRNA from 1 species
AUGAACGCUGGCGGCGUGCCUAAUCCAUGCAAGUCGCGCGAACAGACGAGGAGCUUGCUCCUCUGACGCUAGCGGCGGACGGGUGAGUAACACGUGGAUAACCUACCUAUAAGACUGGGAUAACUUCGGGAAACCGGAGCUAAUACCGGAUAAUAUAUUGAACCGCAUGGUUCAAUAGUGAAAGACGGUUUUGCUGUCACUUAUAGAUGGAUCCGCGCCGCAUUAGCUAGUUGGUAAGGUAACGGCUUACCAAGGCAACGAUGCGUAGCCGACCUGAGAGGGUGAUCGGCCACACUGGAACUGAGACACGGUCCAGACUCCUACGGGAGGCAGCAGUAGGGAAUCUUCCGCAAUGGGCGAAAGCCUGACGGAGCAACGCCGCGUGAGUGAUGAAGGUCUUCGGAUCGUAAAACUCUGUUAUUAGGGAAGAACAAAUGUGUAAGUAACUAUGCACGUCUUGACGGUACCUAAUCAGAAAGCCACGGCUAACUACGUG